rnacentral:lncRNA from 1 species
UUCGCCUCUUCUCUUCCUCUCUUUGCUCUGUAGACUUUAUUUCCGUACGAUGCAGCAAUCUUGUAGUAUUUUUCCCUUUUUAUUUGUGAUUAUGCAUCUUGCCAGUGUUUUUCAUUCUUUUUUAUAUAAUUUCCUUUGCACUGAUGAAGACCAAAAUGUUGGUCGAAAUGUUUGCGUGUCCACCAGGUUAAGGCAAAAUUGUAAAUAUGUUGACAUCCUCUUGCACAUUGCUUUUUUUUUAUUAAAACAUGGCCUGAGUCGCAAUCAUUGCAUAUAUUUGUAAAUAAUGCUAAUAGCUCAACUUUUUUUUUCGCAUUAUGAGUAGCCGAAAACGGGAAAAUCUUGUCACGAUUUUUCUCUGAUGACCGUACACUUUUGCACACGGUCUCCUUUUUUUAAAUUCCCGCAUUGUGUUGUCUGAAAUGUAUUUUUUAGGUGAAAAACUAAUGGAACUUCUCGUUUGCGGUAUUGUAAAAUGUUCAAGAAUAUGCGGUACAAGUUUCAACGGAAUUCAAGCAUUUGCUCGCCCUGGACCGCAUGCAAUAUUUGCGGAGAUUUUCAAACACAGUCAUCGAAACGUGCUUCUCUUGAGUCUGGCGUUUAAAUUGCGUCUAUUAUUUGAAUUCUUAAAAACGUAACUUUGUUCACUUGUUCCGCGUACGGAAAAAAAAAGGAAAAAAAGAUGACAGAUUAAAGUGGGAUACAGGUUGAGCGUUGAGAGUUGAGGCGUGUUCCUGUUCACACGGCAUGUCGGGAGGUUAGGCGUCCCGCUUGCGGUGCACCUCGAUGUGCACUUAGACGAGCAGCUCGGCAUGCCGUGUGAACGCAUCUUAAGUUCUCGGAACGGAAGAUUUUCAGAGUUCUCACUCAUUUUAAUGGAUUUUACUUCUUUUUCCCUUUGAUGCAAAAACACUUGACGAGUGGAGUGUGAAAAGGAAUUAACGGGAAGGAAAGGUAGGAAAAUUCACACUAAAUGUCAGAAUAAUGUACAGUGCGGUUAGUUCCGUUGGUGAAAUAACGACGAGCUCAAGCGCUUACAUUUGCAUCAAGAUAAUGUUUAUUUUACUGAUAAAUGGCCCCAAAAAUAUACUGGUAGUCUUAUUGGUUUCGUGUCUGGUCGCAGAAAUAAAGGCCAUGUUCCAGGGCGGUGGCGGUAUACUGGCUGAGUUGGGGCACGCCGAGCAGGGCUUGCGUCGGUUGAAUUGGAUCCGAGAAAACAGGAGGAGGAUCCUGUCCAUGGAUAGAUGCAUCGAAUCGUGGUGCGUUUGGUUUGCGACCCCGAGGACGCGGCGGGAAAAGAAGAGGGUCACCGAUGUGGCUUGCGAACAGGCUUUUGAGGCCUUCAAAGAGAUCUUCCACAGUCGGGAACAAGGGAUCUGCGGCCGGACCUACGACGCCCGGUGCCGCUUCCACAACGAUCAGUAUCAGUGCACGGCUCGGCAUGGCAAUGGCAACCAAAUCAUCUCGCUCCAGGAGUGCGUCUACGAUAUCCCUUUGCAGCAGCCCGUCCACCCACCGAACCAGAACAUCCUAGCAUGAGGUGUCGAAUCAUCAUAUGGACGUAUUUCUAUCAAACGGAACUAAGCGCCAUCAGGGGAGGAAGGAAGAGGGGGGCUUGGAUUGGCGGCGGAAACGGGCGCCGUGCUCAAUCCGUCCUGUACUCGCAAUGCUUUUCCAUGGCGCUUAGGUCCGUUUGACAGAACGCGCUAUCCGGCAUUCUAAAUUCAUCAAAAGGAACUCAAACAGGUCCGUUUGGUAGAAAUACGUCCAUAUCAUCAUACUCUUUGAUAUAAAAUGGACGUAUUUCUACAAACGUUUUCUUUUUUUUUUCGUUUUUUAUGGACGUGUUUCAAUAUGUAAUUUGUGUUUCCAAUUUACACAUGUAGGUAUUAAAAAUGUUCAAAUUUUAUUCAAGAUAUUUAAAUUGAUGUAGGUAUUUCAUUUUUUCUUUUUUUAAAUCUCUCUCUUUCUCUCUCUCUCUCUCUCCUCUCCUCUCUCUCCCUCUCUCUCUCCUCUCUCUCUCUCUCUCUCUCUCCUCCUCUCUCUCUCUCUCUCCUCUCUCCCCCUUUUGUAUUUCAUCAAUUAAUGUUUUACUUUAUACUAGAAUCUUUUUCUAGAUUUAAUUAAUAAUUUUCUACAAUAUGUACUUGUGUUUUUCCUAUUUCCUUUGUUAUUUUAUUUCAUCAUGUUAUUUGUGUUUCAAAUUCUUUAUUAAUUGUAUUUAAGAUAUUCAUAUUCAUGUAUUUCAAUUAAUUUUUUUUUUCGUUCUUUUUUUACCAAAUUACUGUUUUUAUAAUUGCGUCUUUUUCCAGUUUUCAUUUGGGUCUAUUUCUGAUUUUAAUUUAUGUCGAUGUAUUCGUAUUAUUUAUUUAUUUAUUCAUCUAUUUUAUUUUAUUUUUUUUAAAUGUAUUUUAAUAUUUUUCCCCCACUCUUUCUAUUUUCUUUUUCCUCUCUCUAUUUUCUAUAAUUAUCAGUUAAAUUUAUUUUAUGUCUGAUCCGGCAGAUUAAUUGGGCAUCCCAAUUUGCCGGGCAGAUCAAUGUUUGUUUAUUUUAUGUUUUAAUUUUUGAAUAAAAAUAUCUUAUCUUAUCUAUUAAGCAGAACCAUGUGCAGUGGGAAAGAUGGGGUAUGCUCGUUAGUGCUUGGUUCAUAAGAAUGAAUGGGAAUGAUAAAGCGCCAGGAAAGGAAUGGAUAAUACCAUUCUCCCGUAAUUGAAAUAAAAUUGGUCAAUUUUGAAUCAUCCAAACGAUUUCUAGAAGUUUUUUGGAUGAUUAGUAUCAAUUUGACAAGAAACGGAAGCUUUUUUCAAAAAUAUUUUCCGCUCAGACGCUUCUGAGGCCGUUUUCUGAAAACUUCAUUUUUGCGCUUACUACUCUCGUCGCUACCACGCCACGGUAGCGCAGUGGCGUGCGUGCAAUGCGUGAGGUAUACAUGCAGUCUUGCAGGCGCUAACAGCGCGCACCGUGCAGUACGCGCAAUGCGUGAAGUAUUCGCGUAAUUUUGCAGGCGCUAACAUCGCCGUGGCGGUAAUUCAAAUAAAAUCGGUCAAUUUAUAAUCAUCCAAAUGAUUUCUGACAGUCUUUCGGAUGCUUAGUGGCAAUUUGACAGAGAACGGAGGCUUCUCCCGAUAAAAUUUUCCGCGCACACGCUUCUGAGACCGUUUUCUUAAAACCUCAUUUUUGCACUUACUGCUCUCUUCGCUAUCACGGCAGCACUACAUCACCCCUUCCGUGGCGCCUAUUCAAUCCGCUACCUCUUCUCAUACAGAGCCUUUACUCCACCCCCAUUUUCCCUUCCGCCUUUUUCCCACUUUCUCCUCCAACCAUGUACAGUUUUCCGACCAGUUGAGGCCAGUUUCCUCUGCAACUUUGCGUCACGUUCUUUUGUGUUUAGUGUGUGUUAGCGGGGUUUUUUUGCGUUCUUUUACUUCUAAUUUGUUUCACUUACUCAUAUGAGUACAAUGAUUUUUUCAGUGUUUCCUGAGGUACACCUCAUAAAAUUGCUUUCUUUUUUUCUUUUGGUUUAGUAUAAUUAUUUUUGACUCCUUCGAUAAUCCUGAUCACAGUCUCCUUCGUGAAUCACUCUAUGUCCUUCUCAUUGUAAAGUAUUAUUAUUAUUGACUUCAUUA